CGUUUAUUUGUAUGUUCGGGAUAAACUUCGAAACUGCUUGUUCAAUCAUUGAAACUGUUCAUGAAAUUGUUCGGUUUUUAUAUAUUGGGUGCUAAUAUUGUUGUCAUAUAUUAUACUGGCGUGUCUGUUUAGUUGGCAAAAACCACUCGAAGAGACGAGUUCUUUCGUGUUUAAUGUUAGUAAGUAAUAUUUAAUAAGUUACAUAAGUUUUCUAGAAAAUUAUUAUUAUAUCAUUGGUACAGAUCAUAGUGCGUGAUUUGAUUCACGAGCCGGUAAAGUUCAAUACGGUGUUUAGUAUAUUUUUUUCUUCGCCUGUAGUACUUAUUGUGUACAGGGUACGUAGUCAUGUCAAAGGCAAAAUCUUCAUUAUCAAGAAGAACUUCAGAUGCUAGAAGAGUUCAAGAUGCGAGGCUGCGAGAGACUGCUGAACAACGAUAGUAUCGAUUAUCGAAAACGGCUCGGCGUAAUUCAACCGUUCGUGCGCUAGGGAAUUCUGUUCAAACUGAACUUCGAUUGUUACAAAUAGGAGACAGGAUAAUCCGUGAGUCAUCGGUUCAACGAUCAACGCGUCUGGAACAACAGCGUAAUAAUGUGAUCGAAGCUACAAUUCUUACGGGUCCAGCCGCCGGGGAGUGUGCUUUUAUUCCAAGAAUUCCUUUAAUUCCUUCAGACAUGACGAUUGAAUGAUUGUUCAAAAGCGUGCGAUUUCCAGUUAGAGUCUCUUUCGCAGUCACCAUCAAUAAGUCGCGAGGGCAGACAUUUGCAUGUGUGGGAGUUGAUCUGCGCGAAGAUUGUUUUUCGCGUGGUCAGCCAUACGUAGCUCUCUCCAGAACCGGAAAUCCCGUGAAUCAAUUCAUUUUACUGCCGACGACGGAUAAAACAAAAAAUAUUGUGUAUACAGACAUUUUGUAAAUUUUAUUUUUUUUAAUAAGGUGAACUUUUUUUUUUUUUGCUUAGG